rnacentral:rRNA from 1 species
UACGGGGGGAGCAAGCGUUGUUCGGAUUUACUGGGCGUAAAGGGCGCGUAGGCGGCCAGCACAAGUCAGUUGUGAAAUCUCCGAGCUUAACUCGGAAAGGUCAACUGAUACUGUGCGGCUAGAGUUCGGCAGGGGAGACUGGAAUUCCUGGUGUAGCGGUGAAAUGCGCAGAUAUCAGGAGGAACACCGGUGGCGAAGGCGGGUCUCUGGGCCGAUACUGACGCUGAGGAGCGAAAGCGUGGGGAGCGAACAGG